UACGUAGGGUGCGAGCGUUGUCCGGAAUUACUGGGCGUAAAGAGCUCGUAGGCGGCUCGUCGCGUCGACCGUGAAAACCCGCGGCUUAACUGCGGGCUUGCGGUUGAUACGGGCGGGCUAGAGUUCGGUAGGGGAGACUGGAAUUCUCGGUGUAGCGGUGAAAUGCGUAGAUAUCGAGAGGAACACCUGCGGCGAAGGCGGGUUGCUGGGCCGACACUGACGCUGAUGCGCGAAAGCCAGGGGAGCGAACGGG
rnacentral:rRNA from 1 species